rnacentral:rRNA from 1 species
GGGGUACUCGAGCGGCGAACGGGUGAGUAACACUGUGGGGUAACCUGCCUUCAGCUCUGGGAUAAGCCUGGGAAACUGGGUCUAAUACCGGAUACGACACGCGACCGCAUGGUGUGUGUGUGGAAAGUUUUUCGGCUGGAGAUGGACUCGCGGCCUAUCAGCUUGUUGGUGGGGUAGUGGCCUACCAAGGCGAUGACGGGUAGCCGGCCUGAGAGGGCGACCGGCCACACUGGGACUGAACACGGCCCAGACUCCUACGGGAGGCAGCAGUGGGGAAUAUUGCGCAAUGGGCGAAAGCCUGACGCAGCAACGCCGCGUGAGGGAUGACGGCCUUCGGGUUGUAAACCUCUUUCAGCGCUGACGAAGCCUUCGGGUGACGGUAGGCGCAGAAGAAGCACCGGCUAACUACGUGCCAGCAGCCGCGGUAAUACGUAGGGUGCGAGCGUUGUCCGGAAUUAUUGGGCGUAAAGGGCUCGUAGGCGGUUUGUUUGCGUCUGCUGUGAAAGCCCGG